ACUCAAAUGAAUUGACGGGGACCCGCACAAGCGGUGGAGCAUGUGGUUUAAUUCGACGGUAAGCGAGGAACCUUACCAAGGCUUGACAUGUACCUGCAUACGUCUGGAAACAGCGUAGCCUUCGAGGGUGGUACACAGGUGCUGCACGGUUGUCGUCAGCUCGUGCCGUGAGGUGUUCACUUAAGUGUGAAAACGAGCGCAACCCCUAUUAUCUGUUACAUGUGUCAGAUGAAACUGCCAGCGUUUAAGCUGGAGGAAGGUGGGGAUGACGUCAAAUCAGCGUGGCUCUUACGCCUUGGGCGACACACGUGCUACAAUGGGUAGAAACAAAGGGACGCCAAGGAGCAAUCCGGAGCAAAUCCUAUCAAAGCUACCCCCAGUUCGGAUUGAGGGCUGCAACUCGCCCUCAUGAAGCCGGAAUCGCUAGUAACCGUAUAUCAGCCUCGAUACGGUGAAUACGUUCUCGGGUUUUGUACACACCGCCCGU
rnacentral:rRNA from 1 species